rnacentral:rRNA from 1 species
GACGAACGCUGGCGGCGUGCUUAACACAUGCAAGUCGAACGGAAAGGCCCUGCUUUUGUGGGGUGCUCGAGUGGCGAACGGGUGAGUAACACGUGAGUAACCUGCCCUUGACUUUGGGAUAACUUCAGGAAACUUGGGCUAAUACCGGAUAGGAGCUCCUGCUGCAUGGUGGGGGUUGGAAAGUUUCGGCGGUUGGGGAUGGACUCGCGGCUUAUCAGCUUGUUGGUGGGGUAGUGGCUUACCAAGGCUUUGACGGGUAGCCGGCCUGAGAGGGUGACCGGCCACAAUGGGACUGAGAGACGGACCAGACUGCUACGGGAGGCAGCAGUGGGGAAUAUUGCACAAUGGGCGGAAGCCUGAUGCAGCAACGCCGCGGGCGGGAUGACGGCCUGCGGGGUGUAAACCGCUUUCGCCUGUGACGAAGCGUGAGUGACGGUAAUGGGUAAAGAAGCACCGGCUAACUACGUG